rnacentral:rRNA from 1 species
CCUACGGGAGGCAGCAGUAGGGAAUUUUGCGCAAUGGGCGAAAGCCUGACGCAGCAACGCCGCGUGAUCGAGACGCCCUUCGGGGUGUAAAGAUCUGUCAGUGGGGACGAAACUUGACGGUACCCACAGAGGAAGCACCGGCUAACUCCGUGCCAGCAGCCGCGGUAAUACGGGGGGUGCAAGCGUUGUCCGGAAUCAUUGGGCGUAAAGAGUUCGUAGGCGGCACGUAAAGUCUGGUGUUAAAGGCAGAGGCUCAACUUCUGUACCGCACUGGAUACUUGCGAGCUAGAAUGCGGGAGAGGGAAAAGGAAUUGCUGGGGUAGCGGUGAAAUGCUUUGAUAUAAGGAGGAACAGUGGGGGCGGAAGCGGCUUACUGGGCCGUAAUUGACGCUGAGGAACGAAAGCCAGGGUAGCAAAUGGGAUUAGAUACCCUAGUAGUC